CCAUUUAGGGAUUAGGGUCAGAAGAUAGUUUAAUGGAGAAUACCAGCUUUGGGAGCUGGAGGUGGAGGUUUGAGUCCUCUUUUUCUGAGAUGUUGAGGCUGGUAGG